ACACUGAAGCCGACAAGGUGAGUUUCCGGUCAUUCAAUUUUGUUCAGCAAACUGAUUUUCUUUUUUUUCCUUUAGUAUCAAAACAUCCAGAAGCUGACUGAGAAAAUUCUCGAGCGAGAGGGACAGUUCCUCCAUUCGCAUAACUCAACUAAUCAUCGCAUCACCGACCCUUCCCGAAGACGAACUUGGUGCCCAUCGACCUCGACAACAAGCGCAAUCAUGCCGCCUCCGCCAAGCAUGCCAGUUCCAGAUUUCACUACAUGUCCUCCUUUUCUUCUCCUGCCCAACGAUGGAGUGCCAGAAAGUCAUGACGCCGAUCGCGAGAUCUUUGUUCCUUCGGAGUUUGUAAAUUUUUCCCGAUCGGAUUUCCCGAUGAACUUCGAAGAACGCAACACUGAUCUGCUAUCGAGCUUAAUUUCGACGCCU
rnacentral:misc_RNA from 1 species